AGAGUACUGCCUUAGAGUUGAUGCCCUGUGCACCAACUCUAUAUACCUUGUAUAUACCUUGCACAGUUUAUAUUUGGUGUUGUUACUCUGUAAUGGACUUAAGUGGUGGGAUUUAGAAUACACUAAGAACAGCUGGGUGGUGGAACAAUUUUAUAAUGCUUUUUGGUUUAUAUGCUACAUUCACAGAAUUGGAAAUAGGUAGUAUCAGCCCUUAAUCUUACACAUGGGAGGAAAGUUGAGGAAAUAUAGGUGACUUGCCUGUCACUGCACAGCUGUAUAGUGGCUUAAAACCUACAUUCCUGGCUUCCCAUUUCGGUGCUGUCUUGCUAGGUCUAGGUUUGCAUCUUAGGUCUGCAUCUUUGUGUCCUACUCAAAUGUGAGCACUGCCUUCCUGCUUUACUUAGUUUCUCCUAGAAUCUUUCUGUACUUCUUGUCUGGCUGCCUUCAGGUAAUUUUGGCAUUAGAAUUAGAUUUUUCACAGAACUAUUAAACUUAGAGGCAUAUCCAGUGAGUCAUUGAAGCCUUAUAUUGCAGAAAAAGUAUAAUAAAGGAGUAUAUUAGGAGUUUUAAGGUCAUUUUGCAGAUUAGUGGGGUUAAAAUGUAAAGAAAGCCUUAAAUUUAGUGUGGUGUCAUAGUUGUAAAUGGACAACCAUGAAGUAGAAGUGACAGAUAUUUCAAGAUAAAAGGUAAGCUAAGGGGCUGGGGUUGUGGAUCAGUGGUAGAGCGCUCACCUAGCAUUGUGAGGCCCUGGGUUUGAUCUUCAGCACCACAUAAACAUAAAUAAAUAAAUGUAUUGUGUCC
rnacentral:lncRNA from 1 species